GAAACCCGAGUGGGAGAGACCUCGACGAAGCAGUCGAGGCGCCGAAGGGGCAAGCUCCCGCACACUCUCAGGCAGCAAGACCGCUCGGGGUAG
rnacentral:ncRNA from 2 species